rnacentral:tRNA from 1 species
UCCCUAAUAGCUCAGUUGGUAAAGAAUCUGCCUGCAAUGCAGAAGUCUCUGGUUCGAUUCCUGGGUUGGGAA